rnacentral:rRNA from 1 species
UACGUAGGGCGCAAGCGUUGUCCGGAAUUAUUGGGCGUAAAGAGCUCGUAGGCGGUUUGUCGCGUCUGCUGUGAAAACCUAAGGCUCAACCUGGACUUGCAGUGGGUACGGGCAGACUAGAGUGUGGUAGGGGAGACUGGAAUUCCUGGUGUAGCGGUGGAAUGCGCAGAUAUCAGGAGGAACACCGAUGGCGAAGACAGGUCUCUGGGCCAUUACUGACACUGAGAAGCGAAAGCAUGGGGAGCGAACAGG